CCUACGGGAGGCAGCAGUGAGGAAUAUUGGUCAAUGGACGAGAGUCUGAACCAGCCAAGUAGCGUGAAGGCUGAUUGCCCUAUGGGUUGUAAACUUCUUUUAUAUGGGACUAAAAUGUUCCACGUGUGGGAUUUUGUAUGUACCAUAUGAAUAAGGAUCGGUUAACUCCGUACCAGCAGCCGCGGUAAUACGGAGGAUCAGUGCGUUAUCCGGAUUUAUUGGGUUUAAGGGGAGCGUAGGUGGAUUGUUAAGUCAGUUUGGAAAGUUUGCGGCUCAAGGGUAAAAUUGCCGUUGAAACUGGCAGUCGUGAGUACCGUAGAGGUGGGCGGAAUGCGUGGUGUAGCGGGGAAAUGCUUAGAUAUCACGAAGAACUCCGAUUGCGAAGGCAGUUCACUGGACUGCAACUGACACUGAGGCUCGAAAGUGUGGGUAUCAAACAGGAUUAGAUACCCGGGUAGUC
rnacentral:rRNA from 1 species